rnacentral:rRNA from 1 species
GCUUAACCGAAGAAGUGCAUCGGAAACUGGGUGACUUGAGUGCAGAAGAGGACAGUGGAACUCCAUGUGUAGCGGUGGAAUGCGUAGAUAUAUGGAAGAACACCAGUGGCGAAGGCGGCUGUCUGGUCUGCAACUGACGCUGAGGCUCGAAAGCAUGGGUAGCGAACAGGAUUAGAUACCCUGGUAGUCCAUGCCGUAAACGAUGAGUGCUAGGUGUUGGAGGGUUUCCGCCCUUCAGUGCCGGAGCUAACGCAUUAAGCAUUCCGCCUGGGGAGUACGACCGCAAGGUUGAAACUCAAAGGAAUUGACGGGGGCCCGCACAAGCGGUGGAGCAUGUGGUUUAAUUCGAAGCUACGCGAAGAACCUUACCAGGUCUUGACAUCUUGCGCUAACCUAAGAGAUUAGGCGUUCCCUUCGGGGACGCAAUGACAGGUGGUGCAUGGUCGUCGUCAGCUCGUGUCGUGAGAUGUUGGGUUAAGUCCCGCAACGAGCGCAACCCUUGUUACUAGUUGCCAGCAUUCAGUUGGGCACUCUAGUGAGACUGCCGGUGACAAACCGGAGGAAGGUGGGGAUGACGUCAGAUCAUCAUGCCCCUUAUGACCUGGGCUACACACGUGCUACAAUGGUCGGUACAACG